AAUGAACGUUGGCGGCGUGGAUUAGGCAUGCAAGUCGAGCGCGAACCCCGCAAGGGGUGAAAGCGGCGAAAGGGAGAGUAACGCGUGGGUAUUUACCCUCGGGACUGGGAUAGCUGCGGGAAACUGCAGGUAAUACCAGAUGACGUCCCCGGACCAAAGGUGUGAUUCCGCCUGAGGAUAAGCCCGCGUCCUAUUAGCUAGUUGGUGAGGUAAUGGCUCACCAAGGCAAUGAUGGGUACUGGGUGUGAGAGCACGACCCAGAUCACUGGGACUGGGACAUUGCCCAGACAACUACGGGUGGCUGCAGUCGCGAAUCUUCGGCAAUGGGCGCAAGCCUGACCGAGCGACGCCGCGUGUGGGGUGAAGGCCUUCGGGUUGUAAACCGCUGUCAGAGGGGAGGAAUGGGCGGAGGGUAAUCUCUUCGUUUUGACCUAUCCUCAGAGGAAGUACGGGCUAAGUUCGUGCCAGCAGCCGCCGUAA
rnacentral:rRNA from 1 species